rnacentral:lncRNA from 1 species
CAUCUAGGUUUAAAUUAUUUUUUUUUUUUAAAAAGAUAUGAGUGCAACAAUGAUAUGUGCCUGGGAAACAGCUAGUAAAAUUGAUGAGUGAAAGAAAAAAGGAAGGUGGGAUUUGACAUACCUUGUACUGGGAAUGACUGAUUGAAGAAAAGACUCGCGCUAAGUGGAAGAAAUGAUUAGUGGGUGUGGCCUUAACAGUGAAGGCGGACUGAAAUUGAAUGCCUCCAAUGAAAUUUGACAAUGGAGUCAAGUUAUGUGAUGAAACAUAACUUGAAACCCUAGAAAGGCGGACUGAAAUUGAAUGCCUGCAAUGAAAUUUGACAAUGGAGUCAAGUUAUGUGAUGAAACAAAAGACAGUAGCUUUAACAUGUCUAGGUUUGUAUUCUGGAAUUUGCCCGUGAAUAAAAUGGGUUAUUUUUUUCUUAGGGGUGGUAUGAUUCAUAAGAUGAAAACCAAUAAAUUGUGGAAUUAUUUAAUCUUGUAUUUGCUUGGAUUUUUAUUUUUUAAUUUUAGAUUAAUUAACAAUUUAAAUAUUAUUUUUAUAUCAUAUUUGAUGUGAGAUAACUUUAAAAAUAGCUAAUCCCGAAAUAAGUGCCAUUUUCCAAAGCUUUCAUCCAAAAGUCUUUAAGAAAAUCAAGGUUAUUGCUAAAAAUAAAAUUUAACUUAAGUUUACUUCCUGUAAAAUCAAAUACAUAUUUUUGCAUGAUACCUCAUAUAUUCUAUUUAUAAUAUAAGAAAUUAAACAUCUUAUUUAACUUAAAGUAUUUAUUUAUAUGUAUAUGACCUCAUAUUUUACUCGUGUUUCGUGGAUUUCAUAUGUAAAAUGUAUUGAUUUAUGUUAAUUCGUGGUGUUCUUAUAUAUAGGAAUCAUUUGGAGGCUAUAGGGGGCGAAAGGUGCAAGAUUAGAG